GAUGAACGCUGGCGGCGUGCCUAAUACAUGCAAGUCGAGCGAAGAGGGGACGGGUGUGAAAAACGUGGAUAACCUCCUAUAAGACUGGGAUAAAUUCGGGAAACAGGAGCUAAACCGGCUACUUAUAGAUGGAUCCACGAUGCAUUAGCUCGUGGGUAAGGUAACGGCUUACCAAGGCAACGAUCCAUAGACGACCUGAGCGGGCGAUCGGCCACACUGGGACUGAGACACGGUCCAGACUCCUACGGGAGGCAGCAGUAGGGAAUCUUCCGCAAUGGGCGAAAGCCUGACGGAGCAACGCCGCGUGUGUGAUGAAGGUCUUCGGGUUGUAAAGCUCUGUUAUUAGGGAAGCGGUACCUACACAGAAAGCCACGGCUAACUACGUGCCAGCAGCCGCGGUAAUAC
rnacentral:rRNA from 1 species